rnacentral:rRNA from 1 species
CCGGCGCACGGGUGAGUAACACGUAUCCAACCUGCCGUCUACUCUUGGCCAGCCUUCUGAAGGGAAGAUUAAUCCAGGAUGGCAUCAUGAGUUCACAUGUCCGCAUGAUUAAAGGUAUUUUCCGGUAGACGAUGGGGAUGCGUUCCAUUAGAUAGUAGGCGGGGUAACGGCCCACCUAGUCAACGAUGGAUAGGGGUUCUGAGAGGAAGGUCCCCCACAUUGGAACUGAGACACGGUCCAA